rnacentral:rRNA from 1 species
GACGAACGCUGGCGGCGUGCCUAAUACAUGCAAGUAGAACGCACAGUUUAUACCGUAGCUUGCUACACCAUAAACUGUGAGUUGCGAACGGGUGGGUAACGCGUAGGUAACCUGCCUGGUAGCGGGGGAUAACUAUUGGAAACGAUAGCUAAUACCGCAUAAUAUUAAUUAUUGCAUGAUAAUUGAUUGAAAGAUGCAAUUGCAUCACUACCAGAUGGACCUGCGUUGUAUUAGCUAGUAGGUGAGGUAACGGCUCACCUAGGCGACGAUACAUAGCCGAACUGAGAGGGUGAUCGGCCACACUGGGACUGAGACACGGCCCAGACUCCUACGGGAGGCAGCAGUAGGGAAUCUUCGGCAAUAGACGAAAGUCUGACCGAGCAACGCCGCGUGAGUGAAGAAGGUUUUCGGAUCGUAAAGCUCUGUUGUAAGAGAAGAACGGGUGUGAGAGUGGAAAGUUCACACUGUGACGGUAGCUUACCAGAAAGGGACGGCUAACUACGUG